rnacentral:lncRNA from 1 species
GUACAGGCUCUGUCAGACCUUUCAAAUCAGCAGUGCCUCGGGCUUGGUGGUGCUGUCUCUUCCCUUUACCCCUAGCUUUUCUCAGUCUCAUGCAGUUCAAUACUUGCAUCUCCCUCAUUUCUGCUGUGCCGUUUGGCUCCAGUUGUGCUAAAGCCCAGAGGCCAAUCCAUUAUGAAAAUCAGCUAGUAGCAGCAGCAGGCACCAUUAGCUAAAGAGCAGCUUUCUGCCACAGGGAAACAUCCCUAUGUCACACAGUCCUGGAAGGGAGUGGUCAUGCAGCUUCCUCUGAGCCUCUGUUGGCCAUCAGGGAAGGAGAUGAUACAAGAUGUGUGCCCUCUUCAUUGCACCUGUCCUGUUGUUUAGGAGAGAGAUCGCUCCCUCUGCAGUUGUGAAUUGAGGAUGAAUAUCACUGAUAAAAUGGAGGUCAACAACUGAACGGCAUCUCGUGGAAAAGAUUCGGAGUCUAACUGGGAUUGGCACUUGAGUCAAUAUUACCUGCCUGCUUUGAAGAUGUCCUUCCACUGGAGGAGUCUGGGAGAAGGAAAUGGAAAAGGGUGGUGGAGGUCCUGAGAAAGGGGUCAUGAUGCCAUGAAAAAUCCUCUCCCUCUCGGCAACUGGAUGUCACAUCCUGAGGCUCACUCAGCUCAAAGGUGACCUCAAAACCAAACCUGUCUGAAGGUUUUCGUGGGGCUGGAAUCAGUGGAUGCUGAAGUAGCUCUUAGCUGUGCCAGGAGGCCUCUUAGCGACCAGCACUUAUACAGGCUCACACAUCUCCC